UUGGAGGGCAAGUCUGGUGCCAGCAGCCGCGGUAAUUCCAGCUCCAAUAGCGUAUAUUAAAGUUGUUGCAGUUAAAAAGCUCGUAGUUGAAUUUCGGGAUCAAUUUAUUGGUCGUGCCAACGGUACGCACUGGUACAAUUGGUUUCUCCCUUCUGACGAAGCAUGAGGUCAUUAAUUUGAUGUCGUGGGGAAUCAGGACUGUUACUUUGAAAAAAUUAGAGUGUUUAAAGCAGGCUUUGGCUUGAAUACAUUAGCAUGGAAUAAUGAAAUAGGACGUUUGAUCUUAUUUCGUUGGUUUCUAAGAUCGACGUAAUGAUUAAUAGGGAUAGUUGGGGGCAUUAGUAUUCAAUUGUCAGAGGUGAAAUUCUUGGAUUUAUUGAAGACUAACUACUGCGAAAGCAUUUGCCAAGGAUGUUUUCAUUAAUCAAGAACGAAAGUUAGGGGAUCGAAGACGAUCAGAUACCGUCGUAGUCUUAACCAUAAACUAUGCCGACUAGGGAUCGGAUGAUGUUAAUUUUUUAAUGACUCAUUCGGCGCCUUACGGGAAAC
rnacentral:rRNA from 1 species